rnacentral:lncRNA from 1 species
AAAAGUGGUUAAUAGUAAAUACUUAACCUUAGCCCAAGUUAGGGUUUCUAUUGCUGUGAUAACAUGCCAUGAUCCCAUGACCCAAAAUCAAAGGGAUUUUGUUGAGGGAAGGGUUUAUCUCAGCCCUCAUGUCCAAAUCACAAUCCUUCCUUCACUAGAAUUCAGGACAAGAACCAGGAGGCAGGGACUGAUGCAGAAGACAGGGAGGAGGCUUGCUCCUCAGGACUGGCUCAGCCUGCUUUCUUAUACCAUCUGCCAGGGGGCACCACCCACCAUGAACUGGGCCUCCUAUAUGGAUCAUCAAUUGAGAAAAUGGCCACAGGCUUGCCUAGAGGCCACUUCUUUGGAAGGAAUUUUCUCAGUUAAGAUUCCUUCCUUUCAGAUGACUAUGUUGGAUCACUUUGAUAUAAAACUAGCCAGCACAGCCAUGAAGAAAGUAGCCAUGAUAUCUGAUAUUUGUUAAGUACUUCAGGUGUGUUGGUGCCUAGCACUGAUAUAUUCAUAGCAAUCUCUCACUGGUCCUCUCAAUCUCACAAGAUAGAAGUAUAGUUAUACACGCAGGUAAGAAGACUGUGUCUCAGAGUGGUUAAGGAGCUUGUCCAAGGUACUUUAUGUCGGGUAAUAUGAUGCUUGAACCCCUAAACAUAAUAUCUGCAGUGUCCCAGAAAAAAUAAAAGUAAUAAUUAUCUGAGUUGU